rnacentral:rRNA from 2 species
CGCCCCUAUCGAACCGGGGACACUAACCACCCGAACCGGGCCAUGCGGUGACCAUUGGUCGCCGCCGGCACCGGGGAGCGUGGGACCUGAACCGGGGAGGUAAGCGUAUUAACA